GAUGAAGAACGUAGUGAAAUGCGAUAAGUAAUGUGAAUUGCAGAAUUCAGUGAAUCAUCGAAUCUUUGAACGCACAUAGCGCCCGCCAGUAUUCUGGCGGGCAUGCCUGUUCGAGCGUCAUUACAACCCUCAGGCCCCCGGGCCUGGCGUUGGGGAUCGGCGGAGCCCCCCGUGGGCACACGCCGUCCCCCAAAUACAGUGGCGGUCCCGCCGCAGCUUCCAUCGCGUAGUAGCUAACACCUCGCGACUGGAGAGCGGCGCGGCCACGCCGUAAAACACCCAACUCUUCUGAAGUUGACCUCGAAUCAGGUAGGAAUACCCGCUGAACUUAAGCAUAUCAAUAAGCGGAGGA
rnacentral:misc_RNA from 1 species